rnacentral:rRNA from 1 species
GAAUAUGGCGGGGGAGCNCCNCAAGGGGUGAAGCCUGCGGUUCAAUUGGAGUCAACGCCAGGAAUCUUACCCGGGGAGACAGCAGGAAUGAAGGUCAAGCUGAAGACUUUACCAGACAAGCUGAGAGGAGGUGCAUGGCCGUCGCCAGCUCGUGCCGUGAGGUGUCCUGUUAAGUCAGGUAACGAGCGAGAUCCCUGCCCUUAGUUGCUGCAGUUACUCUCAGGAGUAGCUGGGCUAACUAAGGGGACCGCCACUGCUGAAGUGGAGGAAGGAGGGGGCCACGGCAGGUCAGUAUGCCCCGAAACCCUGGGGCUACACGCGGGCUGCAAUGAUAGAGACAACGGGUUCCGAACUCGAAAGAGGGAGGCAAUCCUUAAACUCUAUCUCAGUUAUGAUUGAGGGCUGCAACUCGCCCUCAUGAAUAUGGAAUCCCUAGUAACCGCGCGUCAUAACCGCGCANNGAAUACNUCCCUGCUCC